rnacentral:rRNA from 1 species
CGUGCCUAACACAUGCAAGUCGAGCGAGAAAGCCCGCAAGGGUGAGUAAAGCGGCGCACGGGUGCGUAACACGUGGGUAAUCUUCCUUGGAGCCCGGAAUAACUCCCCGAAAGGGGUGCUAAUGCCGGAUGAGACCACGGGAUCCCCGGAUCCUGAGGGAAAAGGCGGCCUCUGUACACAAGCUGUCACUCCAAGAUGAGCCCGCGGCCCAUCAGCUAGUUGGCGGGGUAAUGGCCCACCAAGGCUACGACGGGUAGCUGGUCUGAGAGGACGAUCAGCCACACUGGAACUGAGACACGGUCCAGACUCCUACGGGAGGCAGCAGUGGGGAAUCUUGCGCAAUGGGCGAAAGCCUGACGCAGCAACGCCGCGUGUGUGAUGAAGGUCUUCGGAUCGUAAAGCACUGUCGGGAGGGACGAAUAAGGCGGCGGCUAACAUCCGCUGCCGAUGACGGUACCUCCAAAGGAAGCACCGGCUAACUCUGUGCCAGCAGCCGCGGUAAUACAGAGGGUGCUAGCGUUGUUCGGAAUUAUUGGGCGUAAAGCGCGUGUAGGCGGCCUUGCAAGUUGGGUGUGAAAGCCCUCGGCUUAACCGAGGAAGUGCGCCCAAAACUACAGGGCUUGAGUACCGGAGAGGGUGGCGGAAUUCCCGGUGUAGAGGUGAAAUUCGUAGAUAUCGGGAGGAACACCAGUGGCGAAGGCGGCCACCUGGACGGAUACUGACGCUGAGACGCGAAAGCGUGGGUAGCAAACAGGAUUAGAUACCCUGGUAGUCCACGCUGUAAACGAUGAGCGCUAGGUGUUGUGGGUGUUGACCCCCGCAGUGCCGCAGCUAACGCAUUAAGCGCUCCGCCUGGG